UUGACCAGAAUGCGGUCAUCUUGGUAGUAGUGUCGCAAAGCGGAGAGCCAGUAAUGGCAGUGAGUCAAUGACACUGGCCGGAUUGCAUGAUAACUUGGCCGACCGCAGCAACGUUGACAACCAAGGCGAAGACGGACACGAUCUUCAGACGGACGAGAGGAGCUCUCAACUGAGGCAGCACUCAUCGGAUGCAGAUGGGCGGAGGAAAUGGCGGAAAAAUGACAAAUUACCACUCACUGCCUCAUCAGUGACGACGCCAAUGGCACCUUUAAGCGUGGCCGACAACGUCGAAUACUCUUUGGCGAGCAAUUUCCAAGAAACCAUCUCACUUUGGAGCAGUCAAGAGACUUCUAAAACCAAUUUGACGCUGUCCGAACGAGGACAACUCUCGGCGACAUUUGGCAGCGGAUCAUCCAUUCAGAUAUUUGCCACCAAUUCAAUCAUUAAAAGUCUAUUGUCCUCACCAUCUUCACCCACCGAUGGCGGCAUCCCCUCGACUGUGAACCCAUUCUCACGUUUAACGGGCCACAGUGGGCCUAUCCGAUCAUUAAGUUUUUCCCAUCAUUCCCAAGACUUUUUACUCUCAUCCAGUGAAGAUAAGAGCAUCCAAUUGUGGGAUGUGGGCGGGGGCGGAAAAUCUUUGGGUCAGAUCAAACACAAAUCCCGAUCCGAUCGGGGGGAGCGGGUGGCGGUCUUUCCCGACACAGUGGUCAAAACACAAUUCUAUUUCAUGGACCAAUUCGUACUUUCCGCCUCAGCCAAUAAGCUGUUUAUUCACCGACUGGAACUUGAAGAAGUCUCAGCCAGAAGAUCGGAAUACACCUGUCAACUCUCCCACAUCAAGACGCUGGCCAUGAGUCAAUGCAAAUUCAUCACUGAUUUCACAGCUGUCAAUCAUUUCUACUCGUAUUUGGCCAUUUGUGCUUGCUCAGACAAAGGCGUAAGAAUUAUGGACUUUAAUCAUCAAGCAAUUUGCUUCCAACUCAACCAGGCGCAUUCCAGACCGGUUCAUCAAGUGUUGAUUCCCAGCACCGGUCAGAACACUUUCCUCAGUGUUGCCAUCGGAGAUGGGGCCAAGCUCUGGGACUUGAGAAACGGCCAGUGUUGCCAACGCAUCGAUUGGCCAAAUGUCAAAAGAACCAAUCCAGGCCUGGAUUGGAGCCCGUGUUCAAACUAUCUCGCCACUGGAAACGAAGAUGGGGUCAUGUACAUUUCCGACAUUCGCCGUCUCAAAGGUUUUGCUGCCAAGAUCCACCCCAAUAUCUCCUCUCCGUCUGCCAUUACCGAUGCCAAGUUCCACCCUCAGAAACCUAUUCUAUUUAGUGGGUUUGCCGAGGGUCAAUUAGGAUAUUACAACAUGUCUUAGAAUAAUAACGAAGUGCACAGAUGGAUCCAUCGGGACUCGUCUGUCUGUGGUGGCUUCGUUGGCUUUCCCUUCAUCAGAGGGCUCUGCGACAACAACCGUUCCUUCUGGCAACUAGAUAUUGAUCCCAUCAGCAGCCACCUGCCACCAGAAUGAAGGGGCUUUCGCAUUUGGAAGGAAGGGAGCACACUUGCCUUGGGACCGACAUCAGGGCUGCCAAGCCUACUCAUCUUCCCUGAUAGUAGUUAAUUGUAACGAUUAUAAAUUCGAUGUAUGCACUAUAAAAAAUCAAACCAUACAAACUUGGGUUUGUCUUAUUUUGAUGGACGUCAUGUUGGUCCAUUCAGUUCCAGCUUUUAAUUCGUUGACAAUGGCAACCCCAGACCAGAAAGGUCCUCUUUUGCUUUCCUCUCUGGAGGGAGCUCUAGGGACUUCAUGUUCCCAGGGCUUACUUACUUCAUUCCUUGCUCUUGAGAUGGAGUGAAAGUCCCCGUGUCGGUCGUCAGCUGGAAUCGAAACAUCCCCACAAUAGGAAAAUUUACCAAACAGGGAUGAUGGUCGAAAACCUUGGCCCUUACCAUGGACACGCUCCGCUACAAAGGCCUAGUUCAUCAAGCCCGAGGUCAAACGAAGGAGGCACGCCGAGGCAUAGAAUUGACAUGAAAUGUCUGGAACUGAGGCAAAUGCUCCAGUCAAAAGGCGUGAGGGGCGACGAAGUGGAUGAUAAGGUGAACUCAUUCCGAGCCCUGUUGACCCGUCAAUGUCUGGAUUCGGGCGAAAGCAAAAGACGAAUCUCCGCAGUCAAAGAUAGUUUCGAACUGGACUCCCCACUUAA